ACUGCUGAAUCACAGCCUGAACCUCUGAUUGAUCACCUGAGGCAAGCACUGAGUCAGCCAGAGGAGCACAGGUGAAGGCAAUUCACCUGUGCUGCCCAAAGGGGUGGAGCCUGGCUGCAUCUCUCCUAGACCCAUUUAAGUGCUGACUGCUAGUGGGGAAGGCUCUCUUCUGGAGAUCUACUCUGCUGGAGUUUCACAGUGAGCCUAGGAUAUGGAUGAGAAAAAGAACUGGAAGAAUUUCUGCUUUGAAGCAACACUCAUUUUGCUUGCAUGUACAUUUGGAACUCAUCAAAGCUACAUCAAAGAGUUUUAUCAUGUCUGUGCAUCAAACAAGUAAUGACAGAGCAGCAGUUUUAAGAGCAAAGCCUGGAGCUUCAUCUUCACCUUUGUAUUUGAAUAAGGCUUUCAGAAGGAGAAAAACAGACUUUAUAGCAGGUAGAAAAACCAUCUAGAGCAAGCAACCUGCGAUUUAGUUGUGCAUCAAUGGCUCUGAGAGAGAGAAUCAAAAAACCAAGUAUGGAAGAGACCCCAAAGCCCAGAGUCCCCUGAGCAUGUUGCUGGAGCUGUUUCCAUUUGAGCUCUGGACAUCUCCAGGGAUGGGCAUUCCUGGUCCUACUAUUUACAGCUGUUAUUUAUGUUCAUUUCACAAAUUGUUUGCUGUUGCUGGGACCAUGUUUGGUGGAGGAAGAAAAAAAAAUGAACAGUAAGAAUGGAAUAACAAUUCAACUGUUUUUUGUUUGUUUGUUUGUUUGUUUUUUAAACUACAGUACACAGUGUAGCAUAAACCAACAAAUGAGAGGAUUUUGAGUGGUCUCUGAUUCUUCUAUAUAGUCGACAUUUCCUGCCAGCUUCUCUCUGAACUGAUCUGAGACUGAGUUUCCAGCUUAUUCCCUAUAAUAUUUUCUUGAAGUACUGGCUAAAAUGCAGGUGCAUUUGACAUUGGUCGCAUUUCACUUUCCAUGUCAGACCUCAAACCCUUUUUAUACCUGAUCCCCAGAAGUGUUUUCUGAUGUUGCAAACAAAACAGAAUUUUUGAAAUAAAUUGGUGACCUCUGGCAUUUGAACAUCAAUAAGAAGAUCUCUUAGGGCUCAUCCUCUUCAAUAAGUAAUGCAAUAAAUGCACAAUUGGAUCAUGCAUUACCAAGAGAAAGGUUAAGGGAAAAGGAAAUUGUAGAAAAUUUUCCAUAUUCUAUUUACCAUCUGAUAAUAAAUAAUUGUUUUUCUAAGGUUUGCCUUACUUUCAAUGUGCUUCAGUCUAUAUACAUUCAGUGUACAUUUUCACUUGGAACCUUAAAAACAACUUGAAUGUAAUAUUUUUGUGUUGGUUCUCAAUAAAGAUGGAGGUCUGUUUUAGAAAACCAUUGGGGCUUUACCAAGCCUUGUCUUGGCCUGCCAAUGCCCAAUCAAGUCUCACACCUAUGAAACAAUCUUGCAAUAUGCCCAUGAGACCAUAAACCAUCACUGAGAAGCAGAUGGAAAUCUUUCCAGUUUGUGAAGCAGAGCCGAAGAAACUGCAGUGGUCUGAUUUGUUUUGGUGGCUACUUAUUUAAAACUUAUUGCAGUGUACCCAAAGCAAUCCUUCCUAUAUGCUUUAAAAAUACACAAUAGUUGCUGACCAGCAUGGAGAACUGAAAGGAAAGCACAAGUUUCCAAACAGGUUUCCCAUGAAAUUUCCUGAUGGGGGAUGACACAGAUCUUUCUUUGAGCAGUAACCUCUGACCGACACUGAAACAAUAUUUUCCAUGAAAUCUGCCAGAAACCAGUGAAGGAUUUUCCAAGCCAAUGCAUAAAUAUAAAUCUUGUUUUGUAAUGUA